AUUGAACGCUGGCGGCAGGCCUAACACAUGCAAGUCGAGCGGAUGAAGGGAGCUUGCUCCUGGAUUCAGCGGCGGACGGGUGAGUAAUGCCUAGGAAUCUGCCUGGUAGUGGGGGAUAACGUCCGGAAACGGGCGCUAAUACCGCAUACGUCCUGAGGGAGAAAGUGGGGGAUCUUCGGACCUCACGCUAACAGAUGAGCCUAGGUCGGAUUAGCUAGUUGGUGGGGUAAAGGCCUACCAAGGCGACGAUCCGUAACUGGUCUGAGAGGAUGAUCAGUCACACUGGGACUGAGACACGGUCCAGACUCCUACGGGAGGCAGCAGUGGGGAAUAUUGGACAAUGGGCGAAAGCCUGAUCCAGCCAUGCCGCGUGUGUGAAGAAGGUCUUCGGAUUGUAAAGCACUUUAAGUUGGGAGGAAGGGCAGUAAGUUAAUACCUUGCUGUUUUGACGUUACCAACAGAAUAAGCACCGGCUAACUUCGUG
rnacentral:rRNA from 1 species